rnacentral:rRNA from 1 species
GACGAACGCUGGCGGCGUGCCUAAUACAUGCAAGUUGAGCGCUGAAGGUUGGUACUUGUCCCAACUGGCUGAGCAGCGAACGGGUGAGUAACGCGUGGGGAAUCUGCCUUUGAGCGGGGGACAACAUUUGGAAACGAAUGCUAAUACCGCAUAAAAACUUUAAACACAAGUUUUAAGUUUGAAAGAUGCAAUUGCAUCACUCAAAGAUGAUCCCGCGUUGUAUUAGCUAGUUGGUGAGGUAAAGGCUCACCAAGGCGAUGAUACAUAGCCGACCUGCGAGGGUGAUCGGCCACAUUGGGACUGAGACACGGCCCAAACGCCUGCGGGAGGCAGCAGUAGGGAAUCUUCGGCAAUGGACGAAAGUCUGACCGAGCAACGCCGCGUGAGUGAAGAAGGUUUUCGGAUCGUAAAACUCUGUUGGUAGAAAAGAACGUUGGUGAGAGUGGAAAGCUCAUCAAGUGACGGUAACUACCCAGAAAGGGACGGCUAACUACGUG